rnacentral:tRNA from 1 species
GCAGCGAUGUCCGAGUGGUUAAGGAGUUUGACUCGAAAUCGAAUGGGUUCCGAGUGGUUAAGGUGUUUGACUUGAAAUCAAAUCAGCUCUGCCCGCAUAGGUUCGAAUCCUGUUCGCUGCG